GACGAACGCUGGCGGCGUGCCUAACACAUGCAAGUCGAACGAGAUCCAUGGGAGCUUGCUCCCGGAAGAUCCUAGUGGCGAACGGGUGAGUAACACGUGAGAAACCUGCCCUGGAGUGGGGGAAUAACUCGGGGGAAACUCGAGCUAAUACCGCAUACCCUCGGAUGGUCGCAUGGCCGACCGAGGAAAGAUUUAUCGCUCUAGGAGGGUCUCGCGGCCUAUCAGCUAGUUGGUGGGGUAACGGCCUACCAAGGCAACGACGGGUAGCUGGUUUGAGAGAACGAUCAGCCACACUGGGACUGAGACACGGCCCAGACUCCUACGGGAGGCAGCAGUGGGGAAUCUUGCGCAAUGGGCGAAAGCCUGACGCAGCAACGCCGCGUGCGGGAUGACGGCCUUCGUCGGUUGUAAACCGCUUCUAGCAGGGACGAAAAUGACGGUACCUGCAGAGAAGACCCCGGCUAACUACGUGCCAGCAG
rnacentral:rRNA from 1 species